CCUACGGGAGGCUGCAGUGAGGAAUAUUGGUCAAUGGGCGCAAGCCUGAACCAGCCAAGUCGCGUGCAGGAUGACUGCCCUAUGGGUUGUAAACUUCUUUUGUAAGGGAAUAAAGUGAGGCACGUGUACCUGUCUGGAUGUAUCGUAUGAAUAAGGAUCGGCUAACUCCGUGCCAGCAGCCGCGGUAAUACGGAGGAUUCGAGCGUUAUCCGGAUUUAUUGGGUGUAAAGGGAGGGUAGGUGGGUUGUUAAGUUAGUGGUUAAAGUCUGCGGCUCAACCGUGGAAUUGCAGUUGAUACUGGCAGUCUUGAGUGCAGUUGAGGUAGGCGGAAUGCGUGGUGUAGCGGUGAAAUGCUUAGAUAUCACGAAGAACUCCGAUUGCGAAGGCAGCUUACCAAGCUGCUACUGACGUUGAGGCACGAAAGUGUGGGUAUCAAACAGGAUUAGAUACCCUUGUAGUC
rnacentral:rRNA from 1 species